rnacentral:rRNA from 1 species
AAGAAUUUGGCGGUGUUUUAGUCUAUUUAGAGGAAUCUGAACUGUUAUUGAUAAUCCACGUUGGACCUUACUUAAAUUAGUUUUCAAUUUGUAUAUCGCCGUCAUCAGAAUAUAUUAUAAAAUUAAUAAUUUUCUUGAUAUUUUAUUAAAUAAUAUGUCAGGUCAAGGUGCAGUUUAUGUUUAAGUAGAAAUGGAUUACAAUAAAUUUAUUUAUACGGAUAAUUUUUUUGAAAUAAAAAUUUGAAGGUGGAUUUAAUAGUAAUAUAAAAAAGAUUAUUUAUUUGAUUAUAGCUCUAAAAU